CGCCCACAUCCUGCUUCCGGUGAUGGGGAACUCCCAAGAGUUGGCCUUGAUUGGCGGGAGAGUCUCUCAGGUGGUGAGCAGGAACUUCCAGAGCUGGAGAGGCGAGGCCGCAGCCCUGUUUCCUGGAGCUGAAGAGGUCCUAUAUAUGCUCCUGGGGGGACAGAUAUUCUUGCAUGGGGGUCCCCACUCCCUAUCAUCCUCUCAAUCCCAUGCCUGUGGCUCCAUGCCUUGACCCACCAGUGAACACAACUAGGUGGACCCGGAGGUCUGAGGAUUCACCUUGGAGAUGGGAGGAUGGAAGGCCUCAUUACAGGAUUCCUUCGCAGCCCAGCCACAGUGAAUAAUUUAUGUACAAGGCGGAGAAGACAAUAAAUCAGCGGCA
rnacentral:lncRNA from 1 species